rnacentral:rRNA from 1 species
UACGGAAGGCAGCAGUGGGGAAUAUUGCACAAUGGGCGCAAGCCUGAUGCAGCCAUGCCGCGUGUAUGAAGAAGGCCUUCGGGUUGUAAAGUACUUUCAGCGGGGAGGAAGGCGGUGGAGUUAAUAGCUUCACCGAUUGACGUUACCCGCAGAAGAAGCACCGGCUAACUCCGUGCCAGCAGCCGCGGUAAUACGGAGGGUGCAAGCGUUAAUCGGAAUUACUGGGCGUAAAGCGCACGCAGGCGGUCUGUCAAGUCGGAUGUGAAAUCCCCGGGCUUAACCUGGGAACUGCAUUCGAAACUGGCAGGCUAGAGUCUUGUAGAGGGGGUAGAAAUUCCAGGUGUAGCGGUGAAAUGCGUAGAGAUCUGGAGGAAUACCGGUGGCGAAGGCGGCCCCUGGGACAAAGACUGACGCUCAGGUGCGAAAGCGUGGGGAGCGAAACAGGAUUAGGAUACC